CACCUUCCACCGAUCAAGAUUAAAAGAGAGAGGGAAAAAAUGCAUGUAAUUUUUCAUUAUGCAAUCCAGGAUAUAAGAUGGUAACCCAAAGUAAUCCCACACUGCAAGGUGUAUUUCCAAAAGUUAAGAAACUAUGGUGACCAAGAUUGAACGAAGCUACGAUCAACAAAAUUAAAGAAAAACAGUCCUAAAGGCCAAGUUUUACACAAUAUACAAUGAAGGUUACAAACUGUUUAUUAGCAAUCCUUAUCUUUUACAAUUGUUGUUCUGUAUUGACCUUUGGGAAGGAAGGUCACAAUGGUUUUAAUUUGAAUAUUUCUGGAGGAGGGGGUGGUGGGGGUGGAGGAAUCGGUCCCGGGGGAGACGGCGGAAGCGUAAUCACUAACCUGAAUAUCAAGAAAAUAAAGAAUGUUCAUAAGAAUAAAGGCAACAGGCAAAAAAUCAAAUUAGCAAACGGGACAACUCUUGAAGGAUUUAAUUUAAAUAUCAAUGGCGGUGGUGGUGGCGGCGGUGGUGGUCCUGGUCCGGGAGGCGAUGGUGGAGACGUGAUUACUAAUGUUAAUGUGGGGAAGAUGAAGAAUGUUAAUAAGAUUAAACCUUUGAAGAAAAAGAAAGACAAAAAG